rnacentral:misc_RNA from 1 species
UGGCUGCUUUUUUUAUUUCUCAGUCAGUGAAUAUAAAUAUCCCUGGGGUUGCCUU